CAAGAACGAAAGGGCCUUGGGAGAUGGCAAAGGAAUUAAUCUCCACACCCUGGCGAGUUUUCCUGAAACUACUUAUCCUCAGCAUCCGCGCUGUGAGAGGUGGAGCCUCGCAGUCCGGCGGCUGCAGGCAGAAGGAUGAAGACGGAAUCCAAUUCAAUCUGGGAUUUGUCUUUCACGACUGCAGUCGGGUAUUCCUCUGAUUUCUUGUUUCACUGGUUAGAAGGAUGAUCUGUUCCAGCCCAACUCAAGUAUUCUAAUAGAGACUCCCUUGGUUUGAUAUGGUGCAAGAACAGUCACCAGCUCUUGAGACUAGGCUGAAGAGAAUGUGCCAGUGAUUCUCCCUACCUGCAGGAAUCUAACUCUCGUCUCAGCCCAAUGUUCUCCCCAUCUCCUGAGCCCUCUGUGUACCCCUCCCCACCACUUUCCUGCCUGAAGGAAAAGGAAAUGAAGGAAAGUAAAAAUCUGGUGGGGAGGAAAUUAGACUCAAUGUUUGUCAGGCAGAUGCUGAGGUUAAAGCAGUUUGUUUGAUAACUACCUUCAUUUGUGGAGGGGAGAGAAAGCUGGUUAAGAAAGAAAGGGUGGUUAUGGGAAAGGAGAACAGAGACUGAGAUGGAAAUUCUUUGCCAGUCCAGCAGCUAGGGUCAAAUGGAAAAGGACCUUAGCUUAUUGGAGAAGGACAGUUUGGGAGCAAGGAAGGGUAACCAUUAAAUGUUUUUGCUUUGUUCUGCUUUCCUGAAAAUUUAUGAGACAACAAAAUCUGCAUGCCUUGUUAAAAAAAAUAAAUUACAAAAAGAAAGACAUAAAUAUCAAUAGCCAGUUUUGUCCUCUAGAAAACAUUUCUCUUUAGAUAUUGUCUUCAAACUUACAUGUACACACAAUCUAUAUCUAAACCAAACAGUAGUUGAAGGAAGAAAGGAGGGUGGGGGGAAGAAGGAUGCAACUUCCCUACUUGCAGUACGAGGAUCUCUCUGUUCACCUUUCACAGCAGGGAGGCUGAAAAUUUCAUUUUCAUUUCUGUCUACUCUUUUCAUUUAAAAAAGUAUCAAAAUGUUCUAGUUUAUGAGAAUAUGAUUUCACUAAAGAUCAGCAAAGAAUGAGGAGCUUUCAUUUCUAGGGAUAAAUUCACUGAGGUGAUGCUCAGUCUGCAAAGGGAGAAAGGCAGCUUUGGCUGCAGCUGUAUAUUGCUCUACUCUUCAAUGGUGCCCCAGGCUUUCUCUGUGCACGAAUAAUAACUAAUAACUAUUAAGUUCACUUCAACUUUUUUUUGAAGUACAGCUCUGCAACUUGAAACCAAACUGGACCUUUCUAUAUAAAAUCCAAUUCUGAUUAAGAUAAUAUUUUAAGGAAAGUCUUCUCAGUUAUUGUGAUUGUUUGUUAUUGGUUUGAAUUGUUCCUUUAACAGACAACUAUCAUUUGUUUCAAUAAGAAAAUUAAAAGAAAUCAACAUUGCCAAUAAAAGUGGCUUUCAAUCCUGUUAUAUACACCCUAAAGUAUGGCUUUUAAGAAAUUAUUUUCAAACAUUUUGGUUUUAAUUGUAUAUAACUGAGAACCUCUAAGUCACUGGAGAGACGCCUAGCUGAAAGAAACCAAGGUAAUAAUUUUGUAAUGGGAAUAUUUGACAGAAAGUAGAGAAACAAUAAAAGCAGUUAUUUCACAAAGUAGUAAAGCCAUGCAGACAUCCACGUGCAGAGUUUAUGCACCCAUUUAACAAAAUUAAUAGGCUUCUAUAUCCCAAUAUCUUUAAAAAAUCUUUAGCCCACAUAAACCAGAUAUUUAACUGCUUAUGCAUAAAUAUUAUAUAUACUAUGAUGCAUGUACUUCAAAUAUGUAUGUUUAAUUUUUUAUAGAAACUAAGAACUAAACAAGUAUUAGCAUUCCCAAUAUUUAACCACCAAUAAUUGCGGUUUAUUCGUGAUCUGUAAACACUGAAGGAAACCCAAAACCACUACAUUCUGCUUAGAUUGUAGUGCUUCAUAAUAUAGGUUUCUUUCCAUCUUGGGGUGUGCAAGAGUGAGGAAUUUAGAGACGAGUGGAAUUAAGAUCUACAUACAUUUUCAGUAAACCAAGAUGUAGUAAUUUCAUUCUUUAAACAUUCACCUACUAUUAAAUAAGAGAAAUAUAUAUACUUUCAGAGACAGGAGAGGUAAGCCCAAGUCAUGAGAUGAUAUUUCAGAAAGGGAAUGGUUUCAAAUGAUGCUCACCAGCAUUUUUUUUGUAACAACGAAUUUUUCAAGGCAGAUACAGCCAGAUCUGUUGUACAAGUCGCAAAGCAAAUAUUUUAGAAAUGGGCUAUAGUGGAAUUUAAUGGACUGACAGUCUUUGAAUAUUUAUGAAGAGUAAUAUACUUUUGAAGAGUGAUUGUCUAUCAUGCUCCUUAAAAAUGGGGAGGGGAAGGGGGAAGGUUUGGGUGGUGGACAUGUCCAAGCAUCCAAACUACUGCUGACGGUGAAAGGAUAUGACCUGUGUGCAAUAGGAAAGGAUUCUGUGCCAUGAGAGGAGCUGCAAAAGUCUAUGGGUCCUAUCAUGAUUAUUCUCUUUUAGGAGCACAUUUCAAAAAUCUAUCCUUUCCACUAGGCUCUCAUUUGCAGUUAUGGCUUCACAGACAGCAGCCAGCUUGUAUUAAAGUGUGGUCCAAUGCAUCAGUCCAGUUUUGAAAAGUAAACAAUGGAAAGGAAAAAUAAAGUUACAGUCUUAUCAGUGAAACUCUCCUUGGCAGUUGGAGAAUAGGGAAGAGAGAGGCUUCAAAACAGGGUAGUGGGAGGAGAGGAAUACUCUUUAGGUGAGUUUUGGAAAGAUGCUAAGUAAAAUGCUAUUCAGAAAUUGGGAUUAAUCGAGCAGUUUAAAUACAAAUCUGCCGGAAAUCGUGUUCUGUGCGAAUGAAAAUGAAGGAAUUUAUGCAUAUUCUAAUUUUCCCUCUUUGGCUGCUAUUUUGGAGGAAGAGACUUCUUUUGCUGAUGGUGGGACUUUUUUGUUCUGCACAGGAAAUGUGUAAAUGAACACAAAUUUUUUUUCCCCUUUCCAUUUCUCUCCUCCAUCCCUCCUCCCCCUUUCAACAAUUAGAAGUUGUUGGGGUCCUCAGUUCUUCCGCCACAGAUCGCAGGGUUUCUCCCCAUUCCCAGGAUGAUGGGGGCAGGCAGUGAGGGAAGAGGAGUUAGGGCUCCUCCGGGUCAUUAGACCUUUGGGAAUUAACACAGUUUCCAUUCCCCCUUUGGACAUUCCAAAAGAGAGUGAAAAGGAGUCAUAGGUUUAAUGUGAUGAAAAAUCGUCUGGAAAGCCAUUUCCUCUCUCAACCGAAGUCUCAGUGACGACAAGGUGGAAGAGAGAUUACAAGUGACCUUAUACACCAUGUUAUGAAGAUCUAUUGAUCAGCCCUGCGGAUUCCAAACACUUUCCCUCUCACGCUUUGGGAACAAACAGGGCUGGCGCAUUUAAAUUAUAUCAAGACCAGCAAGGAACUCUCUAGCUCUCCCAUUCUGAUGCGAGUAAGUCUCCCAACGCUGAGAAGUAGUGAAGUGGAGCGCUGUGGUCGUUUUGUGUUUUGCGGAGCAUGUGAGGGAUUCCUGAGACGGGCCAAUGAAGUGUGCGGGAUGAAGAGGUUUCUCAUUGGUCAGUACGAUGAAGGUUGAUGGUGUAAUCGUCUACUUUGCAUCAAAGGAUAUCUACUCAUCCGUGUGGCUGUUAGCACUCAGAGGUUGCCAAAUAUGAGUUCCCCAACUUGAAGAAAAGUAGCUGGAUCCAGGCAGAAAGGUGUCUUGGAACUCCCUGAGUGUGCAUGAUGCAUCUCCAGAGAAAGUUGCUUCAGCAUUCUUUUUUGUUUUUGUUUUUGGACUACUACUCUCCACAGUAUCCUCCAGACUCUAAACUACUACUUAGGUUCCUAAGUUCAUCCAGAUCUGACCCAUAUCUGAAUUCUUGGUCCUCUUCCCGUUCUCUGGCUCCACAGAUAAAGAAGAAAUAAUAAUAAAGGAAUAAAAAUCA